rnacentral:rRNA from 1 species
UUGCGCAUGGCCGAANGCUGNCGCAGCGACGCCGCGUGGAGGAUGAAGGCCUUCGGGUUGUAAAGCCCUGUGGGGAGAGACGAAUAAGUUUGAGCUAAUAUCUCAAGCGAUGACGGUACCUCCUUAGCAAGCACCGGCUAACUCUGUGCCAGCAGCCGCGGUAAGACAGAGGGUGCAAACGUUGUUCGGAAUUACUGGGCGUAAAGCGUGUGUAGGCGGUCUCGCAAGUCGGAUGUGAAAGCCCCGGGCUCAACCCGGGAAGUGCAUUCGAUACUGCUUGGCUAGAGUACUGGAGAGGUUGGUGGAAUUCUCGGUGUAGAGGUGAAAUUCGUAGAUAUCGAGAGGAACACCGGUGGCGAAGGCGGCCAACUGGACAGAUACUGACGCUGAGACACGAAAGCGUGGGGAGCAAACAGGAUUAGAUACCCUGGUAGUCCACGCCGUAAACGAUGGGUGCUAGGUGUCGCGGGCUUUGACUCCUGCGGUGCCGUAGCCAACGCAUUAAGCACCCCGCCUGGGAAGUACGGCCGCAAGGCUAAAACUCAAAAGAAUUGACGGA